UACGUAGGGAGCAGCGUUGUCCGGAAUCAUUGGGCGUAAAGCGCGCGUAGGUGGCCGGUAAGUCCGCUCUGAAAGUCACAGGCUCAACCUGUGAAAGCGGGUGGAUACUGCCGGGCUAGAGUCCGGAAGAGGCGAGUGGAAUUCCUGGUGUAGCGGUGGAAUGCGCAGAUAUCAGGAGGAACACCAACGGCGAAGGCAGCUCGCUGGGACGGUACUGACACUGAGGCGCGAAAGCGUGGGGAGCGAACAGG
rnacentral:rRNA from 1 species